rnacentral:rRNA from 1 species
UGCGUAGGGUGCGAGCGUUAAUCGGAAUUACUGGGCGUAAAGCGUGCGCAGGCGGUUUUGUAAGCCAGAUGUGAAAUCCCCGGGCUUAACCUGGGAAUGGCAUUUGGGACUGCAAGGCUGGAGUGCGGCAGAGGAGACUGGAAUUCCUGGUGUAGCAGUGAAAUGCGUAGAUAUCAGGAGGAAUACCGAUGGCGAAGGCAGGUCUCUGGGCUGACACUGACGCUCAUGCACGAAAGCGUGGGGAGCAAACAGG